GACGAACGCUGGCGGCGUGCUUAACACAUGCAAGUCGAACGGAAAGGCCCUGCUUUUGUGGGGUGCUCGAGUGGCGAACGGGUGAGUAACACGUGAGUAACCUGCCCUUGACUUUGGGAUAACUUCAGGAAACUGGGGCUAAUACCGGAUAGGAGCUCCUGCUGCAUGGUGGGGGUUGGAAAGUUUCGGCGGUUGGGGAUGGACUCGCGGCUUAUCAGCUUGUUGGUGGGGUAGUGGCUUACCAAGGCUUUGACGGGUAGCCGGCCUGAGAGGGUGACCGGCCAAAUGGGGACUGAGACACGGCCCAGACCCCCAGGGGGGGGAGGAGUGGGGAAUAUUGCACAAUGGGCGGAAGCCUGAUGCAGCAACGCCGGGGGGGGGAGGACGGCCUUGGGGUGGUAAACCGCUUUCGCCUGGGACGAAGGGGGAGUGGCGGUAAUGGGUAAAGAAGCACCGGCUAACUACGU
rnacentral:rRNA from 1 species